UUUUCACAAUGGGCGCAAGCCUGAUGGAGCGACGCCGCGUGGGGGAUGAAUGGCUUCGGCCCGUAAACCCCUGUCAUUUGCGAACAAUUCGGUUCAAUUAACACCUGAACCGUUGAUAGUAGCGAAAGAGGAAGGGACGGCUAACUCUGUG
rnacentral:rRNA from 1 species